AGAGAUUUCAUAUCUUCUUCGACUUUCAAUCUGCGCAAUAGUUGAAAUGCGCAGAAUUGUUAUCGUGCUGACAAAUCUUUUAUCGUGUCUACGCAUUUAAAUAACAAAUUACUUACAAACACUUUACUUAAAAUAUAAGAUAGCCAUUUGUUUUUAUUUUCGUAUAGAAAUGUUUUUCCGUGGAAACCGUUAAUCCUUCUGAGGGUUUUCUAAAAUGGCGUCCACGAGGUGGCAGCACCGAGUCGUCAGGUCGUCAGGUCCAGACGGAGUGACCUUUACGUCACUAAAGUGACCCAACAAUGACGACAUUGCCUUAUAAAGGCCAGUGUUCUUGACGUCUACGCAAGGUUCAUUGAUAUUACGGUAUGGUAGAUCUAUCUAUAUAAUGAAAUAUAGCAAAUCUUAAAACUGUAACUGUCUUUUCAAUAGUCUGGAAUUAAACGAGGAAUAAAUAUUAA